UUAAACUCAUGCAUAAGGGAGUGGGACAGAAAUGAUAUUUUCGCAAAAUUUAUUUCGUCGUCCCACCCCAACUCGCACAUUAUUGUAAGCUGACUUUCCGCCAGCUUCUAUGUUGGGGCCCCGCCAACUUGCAUUGUCUGUAGAAAUUGGGAAUCCAAUUUCUCUGUGUUGGGGCCCCACCCCAACUUGCACAUUAUUGUAAGCUGACUUUUCGUCAACUUCUAUGUUGGGGCCCCAUUGUUAUAAGCUCAU
rnacentral:ncRNA from 1 species